rnacentral:rRNA from 1 species
CCGCUGAACUUAAGCAUAUCAAUAAGCGGAGGAAAAGAAAAUAACAAUGAUUCCCCUAGUAACUGCGAGUGAAGAGGGACAAGCUCAAAUUUUAAAUCCAUCGGGUUUUACCCGAUCGAGUUGUAAUUUGAAGAGGCGUUUUCUGUGUUUCUGAUCAGUCCAAGUCCUUUGGGAUAAGGCAUCAUGGAGGGUGAGAAUCCCGUCCGGUUGAUCAGAUUCGCUUUACGAUACGCUUUCUAAGAGUCAAGUUGUUUGGGAAUGCAGCU